rnacentral:rRNA from 1 species
AUUGAACGCUGGCGGCAUGCUUUACACAUGCAAGUCGAACGGUAACAGGGUGCUUGCACCGCUGACGAGUGGCGAACGGGUGAGUAAUGCGUCGGAACGUGCCGAGUAGUGGGGGAUAACGCAGCGAAAGUUGUGCUAAUGCCGCAUACGUACUGAGGUAGAAAGUGGGGGACCUUCGGGCCUCACGCUAUUCGAGCGGCCGACGUCUGAUUAGCUAGUAGGUGAGGUAAAGGCUCACCUAGGCGACGAUCAGUAGCGGGUCUGAGAGGAUGAUCGGCCACACUGGGACUGAGACACGGCCCAGACUCCUACGGGAGGCAGCAGUGGGGAAUUUUGGACAAUGGGCGAAAGCCUGAUCCAGCCAUGCCGCGUGUCUGAAGAAGGCCUUCGGGUUGUAAAGGACUUUUGUCAGGGAGGAAAUCCCUAGUGCUAAUAACACUGGGGGAUGACAGUACCUGAAGAAUAAGCACCGGCUAACUACGUGCCAGCAGCCGCCGUAACAC